CCUGACGGUAGUCGUAUGCUCGUCUCCGAGACUAAGCCAUGCAAGUCCAAGUACACGUCCUUGAACGACGGAAACUGCGAACGGCUCAUUAAAUCAGUUGCGAUCUACUCGGCGUUCCGCGCCGCCGGAUAACCGUAGUAAUUCUAGGGCUAAUACGUGCGAAGCGCCCGAAGCCGCGAGGCGACGGGCGUUCUCGCCGGAUGUAGGAACCGACCCGGGGACCGCCGGGGCAACCCCGGCGCCCCCGAGACGGGGCGAACCACGGUGAAAUGACGGAUCGUCGGCCCCGCGCCGGCGACUCGCCGAAUGAGUUUCUGACCUAUCAACUCGAGACGGCGGGGUAGAGGCCCGCCGCGGUAACGACGGGUAACGGGGAUCAGGGUUCGAUUCCGGAGAGGGAGCCCGAGAACGGCUACCACUUCCAAGGAAGGCAGCAGGCGCGCAACUUACCCUAAUCUCGAUUCGAGGA
rnacentral:rRNA from 1 species